rnacentral:tRNA from 1 species
GGCGUGGUGGCCGAGUGGUGAGGUGUCGGUCUCGUAAACCAAAGGUCAUGGGUUCAACCCCCAUCCACGCCU